AAAAAUACGGCUCUGAAGAUACUCUGGGCAGCCUUUUUUGAGACCAGAACUGUUACAAAGUGCACUACCACCGUGUCCCAGUGCCUACACAGCAGACAAAAGAUGGUGCAAGCAGAUGGAUUUCAAUCAUUCUGCCACAGGAGGAAAAGAUUUU